GUCCGGGAAGGGCUGCAGGUGGGCGACGGCGGCGCUGUUCGGGGCGGCGCCGGUGAGGGCGUCCCGGUUGGGCAUCCAGGACCCGAUCG
rnacentral:tRNA from 1 species